ensembl:lncRNA
UUUUGCUGAGAGGCACACACCCAUGCGCAUGUCUUAAUACUCUCUGAGUCGGUCUGCAGUGUCUUAUUUCUCUUACUUGUGAACAAAUGUCUUAACCCCUGACAUUUAAUUGGUCCUUCGAGCCGGAGAACUAACUGUUAUUUUUAACGUCUAGUUUUCCACAGACGGUCUUCAUCGAUCCUGACGUCGUGUUGCCUGCGCUGGAAAAAACCUGUGCACAGUAAAGGAGAAAAACCGGGACCAUUCGAUCUCCGGUCAGCGUCUUAUACAGGCCCCACGGCGCCAGGACCAGAUGAACCGGAUCCAAAACGCAGCACCACAGUAAGUCUCUUGCAGGUUGAACCCCGGUGAUUGGAUUCUGAUUAAAGUCCUCCAGCGGAAAAACUGGAGUGCUCCGAGGUGGGAGGGGCCCUUCCAGGUGUUGCUUACUACACUGACAGCUUGUAAGAUAGCCGAACGACCUU